CCGUGCCAGAAAUUUUACACUGCUCUUUGUAAUUGCGUUUGGCCCAGUUCCUAUUUCCUUUUUGUAGGGAGGAAACUGAACAUACAUGUGAGCAGAUCUUCACAGGCGUCCUAGGCUGGGACCCCAUGCCAAUUGUACCAUGUUUCUAUGCCAGGCUAUAAGGAUCACUGAAUGUGCAGAAGCAGAGGUAAAAGAAGCUGCCACAUAAACCCCAUAAGUUGACCUGGGUCUUGCUGACACAGAGCUGGAAG